rnacentral:lncRNA from 1 species
AUAAGGGCACUUCCCUGAGGGGAACUAUAAACAAACCCUCAAUUUGUGUCCAUAAUACUAUGAGGUAACUACAUCACUGACCUGAAGACAUUCAACUGGGUUCAGCAAACCUAUUCUAAAUAGUGUUAAAUUUAGAUAGAUGCAUUUGUUGACCCUAUAUUGCAUGUAGGUUCUUCUUAUAAAAUUUUAAGUCUAUUUACGACCAUUGAACUCUGGUCUUUAAAUUCAAUAAGUUCUUCCUCUUUUGUGUUCAAAAUGUUGUCGUUCUGCAUGUAGAUAAUCUUUUUCAUAUUUUAGAAGUUGCUCUAACAUGCUAGUAUGCCUUAAAUGUUUGAAUGUGUGCUAUAUUUUUUUUUUUUUGUGCUUAAUUUUAGUUGUGCUUCAGCUUUUGUUUGUUUAGAUAAGUAUUUUAGUAGUGCUUUGCAUGAUUUUCAAUGUGCCUAUGCUGUUAUAUAUAUUGUCUGCAUGUUUGUGUGUUUAAAUGUUGUGUUUAUGUUAUUCUAAAUUCGGUAAAAAGCUCUUAAGGUGGUAUGGGUGUCUUUCGCCAUCUUGGAUUGUAAAAAACAGAGAACCUAAGGUCCAUACUUUCUAUCAAGUUAGCAAAAUGUUAUGCAGGAAUGCAGAUAUUUAAUGUGAAUUUCAUAUAAAAGAACAGAUUUAUAAGAAUAUAACUUAUAGAUUAUAAUAUUUUUACAAGUGUAGAUUAUUUUUGGUUGUUUUUAAAUG